rnacentral:lncRNA from 1 species
CCACUUUAGACCUGGAGGCUCAGCAUGGACACACUUAGCUUGUCCCUGAUCCCUCAGGAGGUGAGAAGCAGAUCCAGGACCAAUGGCUGUUCUAAUCAGAGUCUGAUACCGCCGGCAGCAGCCGUGGGACCUGCCCUCUGAGGCCAGCCUGGCAGCCAACUCCGUCCCUCUGUGUCCUCAGUUCCUAGAAGUCAACUGGUCUCCAGUUCUAUUCCCCACACCUGAAAAAGGCACAAAGAGUGCUGCCUCACUCACCAGGCUGUGAAGAUUUCCUGCUCUGUUACAGGAACGGAUUGAGCGGCUCCCCUCUCCCCCUGCAACAUGAUGGCCAUUUACCUGCGAGGCACUAGUCUGGUGGGCAAAACGGUUAUCAUCUUUCUUUCUUUCUUUUUGUUUUUUUAAUUAGGGCUUGGAAGGUACCAGAUCAGAUUCACAAUUACAAAAUGCCACAGAAUCCAAAAUAAAAGACCCAGAGUAGCAUCACUG